GGGGUCUCUGGGGUUCGCACUACACCCUUUGUGACAUACCUAUAACUGUUGCUUCGGCGGGCAGGGUCUCCGUGACCCUCCCGGCCUCCCGCCCCCGGGCGGGUCGGCGCCCGCCGGAGGAUAACCAAACUCUGAUUUAACGACGUUUCUUCUGAGUGGUACAAGCAAAUAAUCAAAACUUUUAACAACGGAUCUCUUGGUUCUGGCAUCGAUGAAGAACGCAGCGAAAUGCGAUAAGUAAUGUGAAUUGCAGAAUUCAGUGAAUCAUCGAAUCUUUGAACGCACAUUGCGCCCGCCAGCAUUCUGGCGGGCAUGCCUGUUCGAGCGUCAUUUCAACCCUCAAGCUCUGCUUGGUGUUGGGGCCCUACAGCUGAUGUAGGCCCUCAAAGGUAGUGGCGGACCCUCCCGGAGCCUCCUUUGCGUAGUAACUUUACGUCUCGCACUGGGAUCCGGAGGGACUCUUGCCGUAAAACCCCCAAUUUUCCAAAGGUUGACCUCGGAUCAGGUAGGAAUACCCGCUGAACUUAAGCAUAUCAAUAAGCGGAGGAA
rnacentral:rRNA from 1 species